CAUGCAGUCGAACGAACUCUGGUAUUGAUUGGUGCUUGCAUCAUGAUUUACAUUUGAGUGAGUGGCGAACUGGUGAGUAACACGUGGGAAACCUGCCCAGAAGCGGGGGAUAACACCUGGAAACAGAUGCUAAUACCGCAUAACAACUUGGACCGCAUGGUCCGAGCUUGAAAGAUGGCUUCGGCUAUCACUUUUGGAUGGUCCCGCGGCGUAUUAGCUAGAUGGUGGGGUAACGGCUCACCAUGGCAAUGAUACGUAGCCGACCUGAGAGGGUAAUCGGCCACAUUGGGACUGAGACACGGCCCAAACUCCUACGGGAGGCAGCAGUAGGGAAUCUUCCACAAUGGACGAAAGUCUGAUGGAGCAACGCCGCGUGAGUGAAGAAGGGUUUCGGCUCGUAAAACUCUGUUGUUAAAGAAGAACAUAUCUGAGAGUAACUGUUCAGGUAUUGACGGUAUUUAACCAGAAAGCCACGGCUAACUACGUGCCAGCAGCCGCGGUAAUACGUAGGUGGCAAGCGUUGUCCGGAUUUAUUGCGGCGUAAAGCGAGCGCAUGCGGUUUUUUUAAGUCUGGAUGUGAAAGCCUUCGGCUCAACCGAAGAAG
rnacentral:rRNA from 2 species